UACGGGAGGCAGCAGUGGGGAAUAUUGCACAAUGGGCGCAAGCCUGAUGCAGCCAUGCCGCGUGUAUGAAAAAGGCCUUCGGGUUGUAAAGUACUUUCAGUCGUGAGGAAGGUGUUAAGGUUAAUAACCUUAGCAAUUGACGUUAGCGACAGAAGAAGCACCGGCUAACUCCGUGCCAGCAGCCGCGGUAAUACGGAGGGUGCGAGCGUUAAUCGGAAUUACUGGGCGUAAAGGGCACGCAGGCGGUUAAUUAAGUUGGAUGUGAAAUCCCCGGGCUUAACCUGGGAAUGGCAUUCAAGACUGGUUAGCUAGAGUCUUGUAGAGGGGGGUAGAAUUCCAUGUGUAGCGGUGAAAUGCGUAGAGAUGUGGAGGAAUACCGGUGGCGAAGGCGGCCCCUGGGACAAAGACUGACGCUCAUGUGCGAAAGCGUGGGGAGCAAACAGGGAUUAGAUACCC
rnacentral:rRNA from 1 species